AAAUUAAAUAUAGAUUUAAUCUCCCCCAUCAUGCAGGUUCUGGUGUGACAUCUUGCAGCACACAUUUUUCACCAUCACAAGAGAGAAAUGGUGUUGUUGCUGGCUCUGCUGACAGCUUGCCACCGCGCUCAGAGCAAGGCACAGAGGCAUCUUUGGCACCGAGUGGCCUUGAGCUCCUGCUCGCAGCUGUGGACUGCAUUGAUGGCACUGUGCCCUCUUGCGCAACAAAGUCUCCAUUCCAGGAGGACACACAUAAUGUUACCUG
rnacentral:lncRNA from 1 species